rnacentral:rRNA from 1 species
UACGGAGGAUCCGAGCGUUAUCCGGAUUUAUUGGGUUUAAAGGGUGCGUAGGCGGUUUGAUAAGUUAGAGAUGAAAUGUCGGGGCUCAACCCCGAAACUGCCUCUAAUACUGUUGGACUAGAGAAUAGUUGCGGUAGGCGGAAUGUAUGGUGUAGCGGUGAAAUGCUUAGAGAUCAUACAGAACACCGAUUGCGAAGGCAGCUUACCAAACUAUAUCUGACGUUGAGGCACGAAAGCGUAGGUAGCAAACAGG